AUUCAGGCAGUUGCUGAUGCCUCUAGUUGCUGUUGAUUACAAGAUAGUCUUUAACUUGUGCUGUUCUAUUAGAGGGCAAUAAAUCCGAAGUGCAGAGUAGAGUAACCCAACCUCUCUUGAACUUUGGAAUGUAGUGGGAAAUACCAUCAAGAUAAUAUUCUCAGCUCUAUAUACUUUCAAGAUUGGCUUGCCAGAGUAUCAGUCAAAUUCAGACAGCUGCCAGUCCUUCAGAUGUUGCUUAUGGAAUCAUGUCUCUUCUGGGAGGAAGACAGCUCUGGACAGAGACUCCCUGUGUCUCCCUGUGGAUCAGAGAUUUGGCAGUGCCAGG
rnacentral:lncRNA from 1 species